GACGAACGCUGGCGGCGUGCUUAACACAUGCAAGUCGAACGGAAAGGCCCUGCUUGCAGGGUACUCGAGUGGCGAACGGGUGAGUAACACGUGGGUGAUCUGCCCUGCACUUCGGGAUAAGCCUGGGAAACUGGGUCUAAUACCGGACAGGAGCCAUUUUUAGUGUGAUGGUUGGAAAGUUUUUUCGGUGUAGGAUGAGCUCGCGGCCUAUCAGCUUGUUGGUGGCGUAAUGGCCUACCAAGGCGGCGACGGGUAGCCGGCCUGAGAGGGUGGACGGCCACAUUGGGACUGAGAUACGGCCCAGACUCCUACGGGAGGCAGCAGUGGGGAAUAUUGCACAAUGGGCGCAAGCCUGAUGCAGCGACGCCGCGUGGGGGAUGACGGCCUUCGGGUUGUAAACUCCUUUCGCUAGGGACGAAGCUUUUUGUGACGGUACCUAGAUAAGAAGCACCGGCUAACUACGUG
rnacentral:rRNA from 1 species